GCUUAACCGGAGAAGUGCAUCGGAAACUGGGAGACUUGAGUGCAGAAGAGGACAGUGGAACUCCAUGUGUAGCGGUGGAAUGCGUAGAUAUAUGGAAGAACACAAGUGGCGAAGGCGGCUGUCUAGUCUGUAACUGACGCUGAGGCUCGAAAGCAUGGGUAGCGAACAGGAUUAGAUACCCUGGUAGUCCAUGCCGUAAACGAUGAGUGCUAAGUGUUGGAGGGUUUCCGCCCUUCAGUGCUGCAGCUAACGCAUUAAGCACUCCGCCUGGGGAGUACGACCGCAAGGUUGAAACUCAAAGGAAUUGACGGGGGCCCGCACAAGCGGUGGAGCAUGUGGUUUAAUUCGAAGCUACGCGAAGAACCUUACCAGGUCUUGACAUCUUCUGCCAAUCUUAGAGAUAAGACGUUCCCUUCGGGGACAGAAUGACAGGUGGUGCAUGGUUGUCGCCAGCUCGUGUCGUGAGAUGUUGGGUUAAGUCCCGCAACGAGCGCAACCCUUAUUAUCAGUUGCCAGCAUUCAGUUGGGCACUCUGGUGAGACUGCCGGUGACAAACCGGAGGAAGGUGGGGAUGACGUCAAAUCAUCAUGCCCCUUAUGACCUGGGCUACACACGUGCUACAAUGGACGGUACAACG
rnacentral:rRNA from 1 species